UUCCAUUUUAAACAACAUUAAGGCAAUAAUUUUUGCUUUUGCUCAGUGACAUGGAAAUAAUAGUCUAAAAUAUUUAAUAAAUUUAAACUUUCUUAUAUUGAAUCUGAUAUAGACCAUAUAAAAUCAGGAAGGACAAACAAGUUUUCAGGAAAACAAAACUAAAUUCAGGAUUAUAACGUUUCUAUGUUGAAAUUUUGUUCGCAGUGAUAUUAUACACAUACUGACUUCUCUUUAAGGUGAACAUCAAUAAAUUGAUUGACCCAAAAGAUAAAUAUUGAUUUUGGCAAGCCCAAGUUCUACAUUUAUAUCAGACAAUUCUUCUUGAUAUUUCCUAGGAUGCAAAGUCAAUAAAUAAAUUGUUAUAUUUAUAUUCUGAAUAAUUUCUCAAGUCCACUGGAAAGUUAAAUUUUUCAGUCCAUUAUGAAGAGGUGCUGAUCAAUUUAUGUCCAGAGUCUGUGAAUGCUUACUAAAAAUGUUCAAAUGGCAUAUCUCAUAUGUUGCACUAACAUUUACUCACUUUAAUAAUCCCAAACAUUAUUUUAAUUCAGGUUAUAUUUUUAUACUUAUCUUUCCAUUUACUAGAUUUAUUUUUGUGUGUCUCCACUAUCUUCAGGCUACAGGUGUACCCAACGUAUAUGGUCAUUGCAUUUAGCCCAGAGAAAAAUAAUAAUUUAGUUAUUAAAUGAAGUAUUCUGUUCUGACUGCUUACUGGUAGGUAAAGUAAGUACACAGAUGUUUGAAUAAAUUGUUUUUAUCUUAAAUGAACAAAGGUUCCUUUCUCCACGAGGGAUAUUAUAUCGUUUUUUUUUUUUUUUUUAUAACCUAGGUUUCUUGGCUUCAGUUUACUCUUAAGAGGCAGACAGCAGCACAUGGUACAUGUUCUUGAGCUUUAAACGGGAAUCAAGGCAUUUGCUUAAGAAUAAAUUCAGAAUCUUGAUAAUGAUAGUCUUAAUCUCUAAACGAAAAGUUUAUCACUAUCAAUGGCGAGUUAAUGUAGAUAGUUAACCUAAUGUGCAUUUUGAAUACUGCCUCAAAAUAUUGUUAUCUUUUUGUUUCCACAUUGAAUCUGUUUCCCAUGGAAGGUUAACAAGGUAUGAUUUUUUGUUUCUCUACCUCCUAGGAGACUAUGGUGGUAUAAUUUAGGAUAAAUGAAGCUAUGAUAAGUGUAGCACAUCCUUCUGGAGUAUCAUUUUUACCAAAUGAUCAGGGUACAGACUGUGUGACAUUAUCUCUAUAGGAACACAACCUAAUCAUGUGGCACUAUGACACCAUGAGGCAAUGUGAAAAUGCAUUUUGGAAAAGAUAUUGAAUUUGUAUGCCAUAGACAAAAGGAAGCAAAUGCAUUUUUGAAUCAUUGGAAAGGAUGAAACUGCUAGGACAUAUGCUUUUGAAAGGAACUCACAAGAAAACACAGAAACAAUUUUAUCCCGACCACGACAAUGUCUUCAAACAAGCUCAACCAAGUCAUCCGGAAGAUGUUUAAAUUCACCUAUUGCCUGGAAGUCCCAUUUCAAGUUGUCCUGCCUUCUAAACCAAACAAAUGUAUUCCUUAAAUGUAUUUGAUUGAUGUCUCAUGCAUCUCUAAAAUGUAUAAAACCAAGCUGCACCCCGACCACCUUGGGCACAUGUUCUCAGGACUUUUUGUCACAAGCCAUGCUCUCUCAUAUCUGGCUCAGAGUAAAUCCCUUCAAAUAUGUUACAGAGUUUGACUCUUUUUCAUUGACACCUGUCAACAUAGUUUAACAGCCAGAGCUGGGCUCCAAGCUCGGCCUGACUCCAAGCCUGCUUUUGAGCACAAACCCUGUAUAUUCCUUUCUAAUAUUUGGGGAGACUUCACUGAGAGAAUUUUGAUGAAAAGUACUGAGGAAAGAAAAGAUAAUUUUGAAUUGGAGACACUACAGAGAAACAAGGGCAUACAUAUAGGGCACUGGACAGCUAAAGGAACCAAGAAAGCAUUUAUGAGAAGAGAAAAAUUGCAGAUGUCCAGAAAAGAAUAGUAAAAAAAGAGAGAACCCUGGGUGAAAAGGUUUAGAUUCUACUGACCAGCCGGGCCCUCUUCCUAUUUUAAAUGAAGCACAGAGCUCAAAUACUUGUCAAGAACUCAGGACUCAGUAACUUUGACCUGCAUUAUGGUGCACAAAACCAGCAAUAGAGAGACAAGGAGGAACUGGACUGGGAAUCAGGAGAUCUCAACAUGAUUUGGUGACUUGGGGAGGUCACCUUGUCUCUCUGAGGCCUCAUCCCCAUGUUGUACUCUCUCAGGAAGAAUUUUUCAACCAUGACACUAUUUACACUUGGAACCAUAUCAUUCUUUGCCAAAGUGGCUCCUAUGCAUUGCAGGGUAUUUGGCAGCAUCCCUGGCCUCAACCCCUUCAGUCAUGAUGAGCUAAAAUGUCUUCAAACACUGUCAUAUGCCCCAUGGAGGGCAAAAAUCUCCCCCAAUUGAGAACCACUCUUCUGUUAUCUGUAAAUCUUAAAUUAUGUAAUUUUACUUUUUUAAUAUGUCAAAGUAACACAUAAAGAAGCUGUAAAGGGCACAGUGUUUGAAGUCCGAGUUUUGGAGGUGAAAUCUCUCUUUAUCACUGAGGAAUUACUUUGGGUACCUUAAUUCAUUUAUGAAAUGAGACUGGUAAUGCCUGCUUUAUACUGUUUAUGAAGGGAUUAAGCUAUGUGAUGUGUCAAGAACAGCAUCUUUCUCAUGGCAUGCAAUGUUUGGUGUACAUAGAAGAUCCUUUGAUUUGCUUCCCUACAGCUGGUUCUUUGGGAAUACAUAGAAGACACUUUUAAUUAAUGUUAAAUCUGAGUAUAUAUAUAUAUAUACACACGCACACACACACACACACACACCAUUAGUGGUAUCUAGAUUGUAAGCACUGCAAAACAGGAACUGGAUUUAUGCAUUCAUCUCUACAUCUCCAAACCCUCAGCAUAAGACCUGGCAUACAGUGGGCAUUCAAUAAACAGAUGCUGAUUAAUGGAUCAAAUGACGGAAGAAUGAUGUCACACACUGAUAAUUAAGUGGUCUGCUUAAGAUUCCAAAAUGCCUAAAAGUGGGUAAAGACUUAUGUCAUUUCUGAUGCUAUUUUUUAUGCCAAAAGAUAGAGAAAUUAUAUGUUAAAAAUAUGAUUACCAUAUGCUUGAGAAUUUUAUAGAAUAGCAUUACUUUGAUAUAAGAAGUAUAAAACACAAAUGACUCUAUAGCCACAUUUCUUGCAACACUGGGAAAUCAAUAGAAACAAACAAUAAUCUGUCUGCAUCUGCAAUCUGUGUCCCAUUCUCCACUGACAACACUGGAUGCUUAAGCUUCAGUGGAGCUGUUCUAACUCUAUCAAACUGUUCUACAAAGGAAAAUGGAAAAGCUGAGAAAAGAAACUUAUGGAAUAUAAUUCUCCCAGCAAUAAGGAUUUUUAUUGUCAAUCUAAAAACAGCUGACACUGCCUGAAAGUGGGACCAUAAAAAUAAAAUAUAGCAUACACCCUCCAUUUGCCUACACUUGAAGGAAAUGAGAAGUUCUCACAAUUGUUAUGGCAACUAACAUUACUACAUUUGGUAGUUUUUAACAAAGGAAAAGGGGAGAUAAAAUCUGCUGAGCCUUAAGAGACCUCCUUGCUUUUCAUGUUGAAACACUUUAA